rnacentral:rRNA from 1 species
CUCUCUGCUAUAUGAAAAAUAGAGUAUAGAGGGUGAGGCCUGCCCAAUGGUUGUAUCUAAAAGGGUCAGUAAGAGCUGACCUCAUAAAGACAAUUGAAUGGCCGCGGUAACACUGACCGUGAUAAUGUAGCGCAAUCAAUAGCCAAUUAAUUGUUGGCCGGUAUGAAUGGCGUCACGAAGGCCCCACUGUCUUAAGAAGAUUCCCAGUGAAAUUGAAAUCGUAGUGAAGAUGCUACGUCCAAAUUGUUAGACGAAGAGACCCCAUUGAGCUUUACUGAAAACUUAUAUGGCUGAAAUAUAUUUUUGCUCAAAUGAGGAAAAUUUAAACUUAAAUAAAUAGCUAAAUUAUGUGGUGAAAGAUAUUUUUAUCGAAGUUUUGUUUUUUGAUUCUUUUUCUUUAAGAGAAAAAAUCUUAAUUCAAAUAUUCCGUAGGUUAAUGGAAACCACUCUUAUAUUUUAAGAGAGCUAACUCUUUUUCAUGGUUUAUAUCUAAUGAUAAGAGGAAAAAUGUAAGUUGGACAGUUUGGUUGGGGCGACCGCCUUUUAAAAAGUAACGAAGGUGAGCUUAAGGUGCAUAAAUAAUAUCAGCAGCCUGACUGCAAGGGAGACAUUCCGAGCAGACACUUGUUCCCGCUAAGACUUAGAAAAAACAAGUUCUUGGAGCGGAGGAAAGUGGGCUAUAAUGACCCGUUAAUUUAGAGUGAGAAUAGUUAACGAUCAACGGAUAAAAGCUACCAUGGGGAUAACAGCGUAAUAUCGUUUGAGAGCUUUCAUCGACGACGAUGUUUGCGACCUCGAUGUUGAAUUGCAGCAUCCUGGGGUGCAGUCGCUCCCAAGGGUUGGUCUGUUCGUCCAUAAG